rnacentral:rRNA from 1 species
AACGAACGCUGGCGGCAGGCUUAACACAUGCAAGUCGAACGCCCCGCAAGGGGAGUGGCAGACGGGUGAGUAACGCGUGGGAACGUACCUUUCAGUUCGGAAUAACUCAGGGAAACUUGUGCUAAUACCGGAUACGCCCGCAAGGGGAAAGAUUUAUCGCUGAAAGAUCGGCCCGCGUUGGAUUAGCUAGUUGGUGGGGUAAAGGCCUACCAAGGCGACGAUCCAUAGCUGGUCUGAGAGGAUGAUCAGCCACACUGGGACUGAGACACGGCCCAGACUCCUACGGGAGGCAGCAGUGGGGAAUAUUGGACAACGGGGGAAACCCUGAUCCAGCUACGCCGCGUGGGUGAUGAAGGCCU